rnacentral:rRNA from 1 species
UACGGAGGGGGCAAGCGUUGUUCGGAAUUACUGGGCGUAAAGGGCGCGUAGGCGGCCAGUUGCGUCGGGUGUGAAAGCCCCGGGCUCAACCUGGGAGGUGCACUUGAUACGGGCUGGCUGGAAUCCGGGAGAGGAUGGUGGAAUUCCCAGUGUAGAGGUGAAAUUCGUAGAUAUUGGGAAGAAAACCGAUGGCGAAGGCAGCCAUCUGGACCGGGUUUGACGCUGAGGCUCGAAAUCGUUGGGAGCAAACAGG